ACUCAAGCUUGCAAAAUUCCAUCGCUGCACAUGUUAUGGCAGUUUAUACUCACAGCUCACUGAGAAACUUGUCUUUCCCUCAAGGUUGGAUUCACAAUCACAAACAGAUCUUCAGCUGAGAAAAAUCUUUGAAGGCCUGAAGGAAACAACAUGCGGAACAGAAAACAUCAUGGCAACAUUUGGGAUUAAACAUGGUAAAAUGGACAAUAGCAUGAAGCUUCAAUGAAAUUGCUAUGUUAGAUUUAGUAUCAUUUAUCAUUUUGCAGUUUAUGAACAACGUGAUGCAGCUGAAUGUCUGAAGAGGAUUUUACAUCAGAUCAGUCCACAGGCCUCUGAGGUGAGCACUUAUUAAAUCUGCAAAGUUUUUUACAGGGGAACAAAUCAGAAUCCUGUGUUGAAAAGUUACAUUUCUAGGUUUUCCGAGGACAGAUGACAAUCACAAAAAAAUGUUCCAAAGUCCACGUCAUCAAUGUAAAGACAGUAUCAUUCCGGACUCUCCCUCUGUCACCGAAAGAUACUCCUGAUACAACCUUUAAAGUGCAAAAUAACUUUGAAAGGAAUUUCCAGAUGAAAACAUGCCCAGGAGAUAACAUGUUGUACUGCAGUGAAUGUAACACGAAAAAAGAGGCAACAAUUGUGAGUUUGACCUCAAAUGAAAACACAAACUGUAAGCAGGCAAGAUAAUAUACUGAUAAAUACUGAGAUUAAAGUAUGCUUUUAUUAAGGUUUUUGUGUUAUUUAGAGAUGUGAGAUGGUGAAAGCUCCUCAGAUCUUGAUUCUUCUCCUCAAGAGAUUUGACUUUGACUACAACACCAGGUCACAUUUCAAAUCAGACUGCUGUGUGGAAGUGCCAUGUGAAUUACAGUGGAAGGUGAGGAAAAGUUACUUUUUCAAAUAUCUGAUUUAUAUUUGAAUGUUGUUCCUGUUAUUGUUUUUGAAAUUGUCAAUCAUGUUGCUGACUGUGUUCUUCAUUGUAGGACAAGACAUACAAACUGUAUGGGAUGGUGAAUCACAUGGGCAGUCUAAGAGGUGGACAUUACACAGCCACCGUCCUGUCUGAGGACAACACCUGGUAUGAGUGUGAUGAUGAUCAUGUCAGCAAGGUGAGGAAGAUUUAACUUUAUCUGUUCCAUUAAGACGUUACACAUUUAAUACACACCAACAGAAAGAUCAACAUUAAAAAGACAUUUGCUGACAUUGCUUUUCUUUUGUUGAAUCGUACAGAUUAACGACCAGCUGUUUGCAGAGGAAAGGACUUUCAGGUAUGUUUACAAAAAUGUUUCUUUUUAUAAAUAAUAGUUUGGGAUUUAUUUAUCUGUAAGUGUUCAGCACAUGUUGUCCCCAUAUUGUUUUUCUGUGCAAAUAAUAACUUUAAAAUUAUUCUACAUCAGAUCCAAGAGUGUCUAUCUCCUCUCGUACAGAGGUAGGACUAAGAACAUAGAUUACACAAUAUUUUAAUCAGGAGCAAUAUUAACAGAUGAUAUCCACAUAUGGACCAUAAAUGUACAUAAUUCAGUGUGUGUUUAAUUUCCACAGCACUACAGGGACUGCAUUAUGGCACAUAUGAUCAGGGAGACACAAAUGAUCGAAACUUACUCUCAUGGAAAGAUACCCAUCAUACAACCUACAGUGAGGUAAGCAGCCAAAACUAGAAGUCCUGGUUUAGUAUUUUAAUGUGAUGUGAGCCUGCUGAUCUAAUUUGGAAUGUAUACAACAUUUGUCCACAGGAAAGCAGCUUUAAAAGGAUUGUCAACACAAAAUCAUUUUCUGGAGACAACAAGGUGUACUGCGAUGAGAAGAUGAAAGAACCAAUGGUGAGUUUUGACCUUAAAAUCUCAACACAAACUGUCGGCAGAUCAAAUGUGACACUAGAAUCAAAUAAAAAGUUGUUUAUUCAUUUGCAA
rnacentral:lncRNA from 1 species